rnacentral:lncRNA from 1 species
AGGAGGAUGGGACAGCGAUUUCCGUUUGGGGCAGCCGGCGCCCGCGCUGUCAACGGAUGAGUCGACGGUAGAAGAUAAAGGAGAAAUCCUCAAAUGACUCCGGAGGUCCGAUCAUGUCGCCGGUGGCGGAAGGGGACUUGGAGGCGGUAGAGCGGGAGAUCAUGCGACGGGACUCGGCCUCCCCGACCGUCGAAAAUCGGAUGCUCUUCGAUGGCAGAGACCACUCAAAUACUUUCUUUGAUCCGCUGCUCUAUCAAAGGCCCUAUCAUCGUCGGCACUCUCCGCCAUUCAUCGUCGUCGUCAUCAUCCUCCUCCUCUGUGUUCCCCUCGGCGAACGCAAU